UGUUGUGUAACUCAUUAUCCCAAUAAAGAACUUUGCAGACAAGUUGCUGCCCUGGAUUUGUUCCACAAUUACUGAAUGCAUUGACCUAUUGGGUAUUACACACAGAAUACCUGUGGAAGAAGCCAACAAAGAAAUUCGCAAGAACAGCAACAGGGUCCACAGCUGAAAUGAGACUGCCAAAAAGAAGGCACUGAAGCAAGGAAAUGUUUGACAACCCAAAGGCUUCAAUCUGGCAGAUGCCAAAGAGGGAGAUUCCAAUCCCAACAGCAUUCCAAAGAGUACCCACCACAGCAUACCAGAAAAUAGUGCCUGCAUUGUCAAAGAAUGACCGUGUUGGUAGAAAAUAACCCGCAUCUAACACAAUCGGA